rnacentral:rRNA from 1 species
CCUACGGGGGGCUGCAGUGAGGAAUCUUGCGCAAUGGGCGAAAGCCUGACGCAGCGACGCCGCGUGGAGGACGAAGGUCUUCGGAUCGUAAACUCCUGUCAAGUGGGACGAAUGCCGCUGGGAUUAACAGUCCCGGCGGUUGACGGUACCGCUGGAGGAAGCCCCGGCUAACUCCGUGCCAGCAGCCGCGGUAAUACGGAGGGGGCCAGCGUUGUUCGGAAUCAUUGGGCGUAAAGGGCGCGUAGGCGGCUUGGUAAGUCGGUCGUGAAAUCCCUCGGCUCAACUGGGGAACUGCGUCCGAUACUGCCAGGCUCGAGUCCCGGAGAGGGCAGUGGAAUUCCCAGUGUAGCGGUGAAAUGCGUAGAUAUUGGGAGGAACACCGGUGGCGAAGGCGGCUGCCUGGACGGGUACUGACGCUGAGGCGCGAAAGCGUGGGGAGC